rnacentral:rRNA from 1 species
GAUGAACGCUAGCGGCAGGCUUAAUACAUGCAAGUCGAGGGGCAGCGGGGUAGCAAUACCGCCGGCGACCGGCAAACGGGUGCGGAACACGUACACAACCUUCCUUUUAGUGGGGCAUAGCCCAGAGAAAUUUGGAUUAAUACCCCGUAAGAUAUUAGAGCGGCAUCGCUUAGAUAUUAUAGGUUUACCGCUAAGAGAUGGGUGUGCGGCUGAUUAGGUAGUUGGCGGAGUAAUAGCCCACCAAGCCGACGAUCAGUAGCUGAUGUGAGAGCAUGAUCAGCCACACGGGCACUAGGACACGGGCCCGACUCCUACGGGAGGCAGCAGUAAGGAAUAUUGGACAAUGGACGCAAGUCUGAUCCAGCCAUGCCGCGUGAAGGAUUAAGGCCCUCUGGGUUGUAAACUUCUUUUAUAGGGGACGAAAAAAGGGCUUUCUAGCUCGUCUGACGGUACCCUAUGAAUAAGCACCGGCUAACUCCGUGCCAGCAGCCGCCGUAA